CACGUAGGAGGCGAGCGUUGUCCGGAAUCAUUGGGCGUAAAGAGCGCGCAGGCGGCUUGGCAAGUCGGGUGUGGAAAUCCCGGGGCUCAACCCCGUGACUGCAUCCGAUACUGUCAGGCUAGAGGUAGGUAGGGGAGAUCGGAAUUCCUGGUGUAGCGGUGAAAUGCGCAGAUAUCAGGAGGAACACCGGUGGUGAAGGCGGAUCUCUGGGCCGUUACCUGACGCUCAGGCGCGAAAGCUAGGGGAGCGAACAGG
rnacentral:rRNA from 1 species